UUUAUAAACUACUUUUACGACAAGAGAUUUCCCACAUUUCGACUGGCGAUGUGCACCAUGAACUUCUGCAACGAGCAAGAACUGCAGGAGCUGGCUGAAGCAAUAAUUCCCCCUGUGGUUGACUUCAAAGUGAAGUACUGCAUGACCAAGGAUAAUCCCCGUCCGACUCCUGGUCAGUGCAUCAUCAUCGCAUUUCUGGCCACGAUCGCCUUCCUCGUGGCCUUAGGCACCGGAGUGGACAUCUACACAGAAAAGAGAGCGCUGAAGUGUCGGCG